UGGGGGAUAUUGCACAAUGGGGGAAACCCUGAUGCAGCAACGCCGCGUGAGGGAAGAAGGUUUUCGGAUUGUAAACCUCUGUCCUCAGGGAAGAUAAUGACGGUACCUGAGGAGGAAGCUCCGGCUAACUACGUGCC
rnacentral:rRNA from 1 species